GUCGCUUGUCGACGGCCGCGUGUCACUUCCUUCCUGGUAGAUGUGACUAGAUGAGUCGUCGCCCGGCGCUCUGUGCAGACUUCAGCGUGCAGCAGCGGACCUGCCGCCACACCAGCAGCCAUCACCACGACGCCAACCCCAGCCUCCUCAGGAUCCCGACAUGGACGCCGCCACGGCAAGCAUCUCUGCAGAGGAGCUGGAUGAACUGAGAGAGGCUUUUGCCAAGAUAGACGUAGACAACAACGGCUUCAUUAGCAAAGAUGAACUCAACGAGCUCUUCAGGGCCGCCAACCUGGCUCUGCCAGGCUUCAGAGUCCGAGAGAUCAUCCAGGAGCUGACCAAGACCAGUGAGCAGCUCACCUUUCAGCAGUUCACGCAGAUCGUUCACGGCCUGAAGAGCACCGAGGUGGCCAAGACCUUCAGGAAGGCCAUCAACAAGAAGGAGGGAAUCUGCAAUGUGGCCGGAACGUCCGAGCAGUCGGACACUCAGCACUCCUACUCUGAGGAAGAGAAAGUGGCCUUCGUCAACUGGAUCAACAAAGCUCUUGAGAAGGAUCCGGACUGUAAACACGUCCUGCCAGCCGAUCCCAAUAGCGACGAACUGUUCACAGCGGUGGGAGACGGAAUCGUUCUCUGUAAGAUGAUCAACCUCUCUGUGGAGGACACAAUCGAUGAGAGGACCAUCAACAAGAAGAAGCUCACGCCUUUCACCAUCCAGGAGAACCUGAACCUGGCACUGAACUCGGCGUCGGCCAUCGGCUGCCACGUGGUCAACAUUGGCGCAGAGGAUCUGAAGGAGGGCAGGCAGCACCUAGUCCUGGGCCUGCUCUGGCAGAUCAUCAAGAUCGGACUGUUCGCAGACAUUGAGCUCGGCAGGAACGAAGCUCUGAUCGCUCUGCUGCGAGACAGCGAGAGUCUGGAGGACCUGAUGAAGCUCUCACCAGAGGAACUUCUGUUGCGUUGGGCCAACUACCACCUAGAGGACUCUGGCGCUCCAAAGAUCAACAACUUCAGCUCCGACAUCAAAGAUUCCAAAGCCUACUACAACCUGCUCAAUCAGGUGGCACCCAAAGGUGACGAGGAGGGAAUUCCCCCCAUCAGCAUUGACGUGUCAGGAAUUAGGGAGAAAGAUGAGCUGAAGCGUGCCGAGUGCAUGCUGGAGCAGGCCGACAAGCUGGGGUGUCGACAGUUCGUCAUGGCGACUGACGUCGUUCACGGCAACCCCAAACUCAACCUGGCGUUUGUGGCAAACCUCUUCAACAAGUACCCGGCCCUGAAGAAACCCGAGAACCAGGACAUCGACUGGAGCGCCAUUGAAGGCGAGACCAGGGAGGAACGCACAUUCAGGAACUGGAUGAACUCUUUGGGGGUCAACCCUCGAGUCAACCACCUCUACACCGAUAUCGAUGACGCCCUGGUCAUCUUCCAGCUGUACGAGAAGAUCAAGGUUCCAGUGGACUGGGACCGUGUCAACAAGCCCCCCUACCCAAAAUUGGGCAGCAACAUGAAGAAGUUGGAGAACUGCAACUAUGCCGUGGAGCUCGGCAAGAAGGAGGCCAAGUUUUCUCUGGUGGGCAUCGCGGGUCAAGACCUGCAUGCCGGGAACCGAACACUCACGCUUGCUCUGCUUUGGCAGCUCAUGAGGAGGUACACUCUGAACAUCCUUGAGGAUCUCGGCGACGGCCGGAAGGUGACCGAUGACACCAUUGUGGCCUGGGUCAACAACACGCUGACACAACACGGCAAACCCUCCAUCUCCAGUUUUAAGGACGGCUCCAUCAGCACCAGCAUGCCGGUUCUAGAUCUGAUUGACGCCAUCCAGCCUGGAUCGAUCCGAUACGACCUGUUGAAGAUGGAAGACCUCACUGAAGAGGAGAAACUCAACAACGCCAAGUAUGCCAUCUCCAUGGCGAGGAAGAUUGGCGCCCGGGUGUACGCUCUGCCUGAGGACUUGGUGGAGGUGAAGCCAAAGAUGGUGAUGACGGUGUUUGCCUGCCUGAUGGCACGCGGCAUGAAGUGAGAUUGAAGACGCUAAGAAGGUGAAGACCUGAGAUGUUGGUCCACACAAAGGCAACCUAACCCCAACAUCUGUCCUGAUCCAAACCCCAGCAUCUGUCCUGAUCCAAACCCCAGCAUCUGUCCUGACCCUAACCCCAACAUUUGUCCUGAUCCUAACCACAACUUCUGUCCUGAUCCUAACCACAACUUCUGUCCUGACCCCAACCCCAACAUCUGUCCUGAUCCAAACCCCAGCAUCUGUCCUGAUCCGAACCCCAACUUCUGUCCUGUUCCUAACCACAUCUGUCCUGACCCCAACAUCUGUCCUGAUCCUAACCACAACAUCUGUCCUGAUCCUAACCACAACAUCUGUCCUGAUCCUAACCACAACAUCUGUCCUGAUCCUAACCACAUCUGUCCUGACCCCAAUCCCAACAUCUGUCCUGAUCCUAACCACAUCUGUCCUGAUCCUAACCACAACAUCUGUCCUGACCCAAACCCCAACAUCUGUCCUGACCCAAACCACAACUUCUGUCCUGAGCCCAACCCCAACAUCUGUCCUGAUCCUAACCACAUCUGUCCUGACCCCAACCCCAACAUCUGUCCUGACCCUAACCCCAACAUCUGUCCUGAUCCUAACCACAACUUCUGUCCUGAUCCUAAUCCCAACGUCUGUCCUGAUCCUAACCGAAGCAUCUGUCCUGAUCCUAACGUUUGUCCUGAUCCUAACCCCAACAUCUGUCCUGAUCCUAACCCCCACAGCUGUCCUGAUCCUGAUCGUAACGUUUGUCCUGAUCCUAACCCCAACAUCUGUCCUGAUACUAACCCCAACAUCUGUCCUGACCCAAACCCCAACAUCUGUCCUGAUCCUAACCCCAACGUCUGUCCUGAUCCUAACCCCAACAUCUGUCCUGACCCAAACCCCAACAUCUGUCCUGAUCCUAACCACAACUUCUGUCCUGAGCCCAACCCCAACAUCUGUCCUGAUCCUAACCACAUCUGUCCUGACCCCAACCCCAACAUCUGUCCUGACCCAAACCCCAACAUCUGUCCUGAUCCUAACCACAACUUCUGUCCUGAGCCCAACCCCAACAUCUGUCCUGAUCCUAACCCCAACGUCUGUCCUGAUCCUAACCCCAACAUCUGUCCUGACCCAAACCCCAACAUCUGUCCUGAUCCUAACCACAACUUCUGUCCUGAGCCCAACCCCAACGUCUGUCCUGAUCCUAACCGAAGCAUCUGUCCUGAUCCUAACGUUUGUCCUGAUCCUAACCCCAACAUCUGUCCUGAUCCUAACCCCCACAGCUGUCCUGAUCCUGAUCGUAACGUUUGUCCUGAUCCUAACCCCAACAUCUGUCCUGAUACUAACCCCAACAUCUGUCCUGAUACUAACCCCAACAUCUGUCCUGACCCAAACCCCAACAUCUGUCCUGAUCCUAACCCCAACGUCUGUCCUGAUCCUAAACCCAACAUCUGUCCUGAACCUAACCCCAACCCAAACCCCAUUUCUGACACCAACCCUAACCACAGCCCUAGACGUUUCUGUGGAGUCAUUCUUCAGCCGUUAAGUCACAAAUUUCGAUUUUUUUUUAUUUUGACGCUACAUAAAUUUGUGACGAUAAGUUUGAAAAUCCACCCCUCGGAUAAGUGGUGUUUUCAGCCAUCUUGGGGUCCUGCCAGAACCCCCAAUCAGGGUAUGGGAAGUCCUGGACCAGAAAAGUGCAGUGGGAGCGACUUGAUAAAUUGCGACUGACCUGUGGCCUCACUGAUAAAUCUGUACG